GAUGAACGCUGGCGGCGUGCCUAAUACAUGCAAGUCGAGCGAACAGACGAGGAGCUUGCUCCUCUGACGUUAGCGGCGGACGGGUGAGUAACACGUGGAUAACCUACCUAUAAGACUGGGAUAACUUCGGGAAACCGGAGCUAAUACCGGAUAAUAUAUUGAACCGCAUGGUUCAAUAGUGAAAGACGGUUUUGCUGUCACUUAUAGAUGGAUCCGCGCCGCAUUAGCUAGUUGGUAAGGUAACGGCUUACCAAGGCGACGAUGCGUAGCCGACCUGAGAGGGUGAUCAGCCACACUGGAACUGAGACACGGUCCAGACUCCUACGGGAGGCAGCAGUAGGGAAUCUUCCACAAAGGGCGAAAGCCUGACGGAGCAACGCCGCGUGAGUGAUGAAGGUCUUCGGGUCGUAAAGCUCUGUUAUUAGGGAAGAACAAAUGUGGAAGUAACUAUGCACGUCUUGACGGUACCUAAUCAAAAAGCCACGGCUAACUACGUG
rnacentral:rRNA from 1 species